ACAUUCUGCCUCUUUCGCCACUUUGAAUCAGAUUUAAGUAAUUCCCAAAAGCAAAAAUCAGAACAUGACGAUUUUAAAACCUGGGUUUUAUUUACCUAUAUUCCCACCUCCCACCAAAUAGAACAGAUGAAUACAUUAUUUUACCGAAACGGUUAGGGUUGGCAAACCUCACUCAUUCUUCCUUUUCUUUGAAAGAAAGCCUCAAGGACGACACCAGACAGACGGAAUGUGAAGAAACCAUCCCUUUAUUUGUGUGAAUCAGUCCAAACCAAAGUCAGAGUCGAAAGAGUUAAAAACAGGCAGUGCUCAAAACAGACCAAGCCCGAGGUUUCCUCCACCCGGCUGUGGGGUGAGAUCUACACGUUCACACCAGGUGGAGAGCACACCGAGCCCGAGGCGUGAGAGGGGCUCCAGAGACGUGACAUACGGUUAAAUAGCGGCAGUUACCAUGUCGCUCUUCCGGAUGUCCUUAUUUGGCGUUGGCAGAGCUGCUGAGCGUCUUGCGCACCGCCUGGGCGAUGGCGUCGCGGUCGAUGCCGAAGAGCCGCAGCAGCUCGUGGGGCUUGCCGCUGCGGGGCACCUGGGAGACCGCCAGGCGGUGAACAGUGAAUCCGGGUUCGUUCACCACCGCCGAGCACACGGCCUCGCCGAGCCCACCUGAAUGCAGAGCAGAGCCAAUUGAAAGUGACGGUUUGCGCCCAAAAUCGCUUUCUCUGUGCUCUAGUCGUCCAACAAAUCCUCCUGAAUUCAACUCGACUUCUCUGUCGGAGGGAUGUGAGGCGGAGUGACAGGCGUGACACCACCCUCCUGGGACUUUUUCACUCUUGUUCUCGCACUUUUAAGGUUAAAGAAGAGUGUGUGCUCAAAGCAAAAAAAAAUAAAUAAAUAAAAUAAAUAAAACUAGUUUGACUCCUUGUAUUUAUUGUUCCUGUUCAGAGAUAUUGUUAACACUUGGAAAAGAAAAAGUUAAGGGACUUCAAAAGAGGCAACAUCUUCAGCCUGACAGGCAACGUUAUUUCCAGCUACACCCAUAUCAGCCUGGUGACAGUGGCUUGCGAAACGUUGACCUUUUUUCACAUUUUGUGAUUACAACCACAGACUUGCAUGUAUUUUAUUGUGAUUUCAUGUGACAGACCAACACAGUGCAGUGGAAUAACUGUGACGUAAAAGAAACAUGCCUCAUUUUCACAUUUUUUCCAAGAUAGAAAUCUGAAUGAGAAAUCACUCAUUCUAUUAUGAUACAAAAGAAAAAAAUAAGAUGUGAAAACUUCUAAAGCUGGGUUAAGUUAAAAAACCACAAAACACAAAAAAGGAGCACAGCUCUGUUCAUGUUAUGGGAGAAUAACAAAACCUUAAAAUCUUAGUAUUGAGUCAGGGGUGCUAAACUCAAACCCGUGACACACUUUUCAGAUUUUUGUUUAAAAUAAAAGAUCUAAAUUGUGUAUCAUCCCCCCCACCACUUCUCAAUUACGUGGUAUUUUGUGUUGGUCAAUCACAUAAAAUGUUAAAAUGCUAAAAUCACCUGCAAAGUUUGUGGUAGAAAAAUAGGUUUGUGUGUCGCUUUGCAAGACGCUAUACAUGAGUGUUUCUGCUCGCCAUUCAUUAACAGCAAAACAGAUCAAAUAAAUGACAGGAACAGCAGUUUAAUCAAGAUAACCGAAAACGUAUACAAC